CCAGCCGCUCCGGUCAUGGUGCUGGGCCGCGGGCUGCUCGGCUGCUGGAGCGUCGCUGAGCUGGGAGCCGCCUGCGCCCGUCUCGGCCUGGGAUUGUAAGCCCUCGCUGACGCCGGCGGGCAGGCCGAUUGGGGUCGAGCAAAGGCUACCCAGCAGUUGAGUCAGCCUUUGAGAGGGCUGAAGACAGAGUUGGGUAACUUGUCAGCUGGGGGGUGCUAACGGAUUUGUGCUAGGUCCAGCCCUGCUGGGAAGCCUCUACCACUCGGGUUUAAGGAAGAGCUUGACCGUGGAUCAGGGCGCCAUGAAGGUGGAGUUACUGCCUGCUCUGACCGACAAUUACAUGUACCUGCUCAUUGAUGAGGACACCAAGGAGGCGGCCAUUGUGGAUCCAGUGCAGCCCCAGAAGGUGGUGGAAACGGUGAGGAAGCACGGCGUGAAGCUGACCACAGUGCUCACCACCCACCACCACUGGGACCACGCUGGCGGGAACGAGAAGCUGGUCAAGCUGGAGCCUGGGUUGAAGGUGUACGGGGGUGAUGACCGGAUUGGGGCCCUGACUCACAAGGUCACACACCUGUCCACACUGCAGGUGGGGUCUCUCAGCGUCAAGUGCCUGUCGACGCCGUGCCACACUUCUGGACACAUCUGUUACUUUGUGACCAAGCCCAACAGUCCCGAGCCGCCUGCUGUGUUCACAGGUGACACCUUGUUUGUGGCUGGCUGUGGGAAGUUCUAUGAAGGGACAGCAGAUGAGAUGUACAAAGCCCUGCUCGAGGUCCUGGGCCGGCUCCCUCCAGACACGGUAGGCAGUGUCCUGUCUGCUCGCCGGUGGCAGCAAGGCCCUGUCCCCUCACCUCCUGCGGAGCCCGCGGGCCAGCUCCCCGCCCCUGGGGUCUCACGAGCCUUCCUGCAUGGGGAGGAGCAGCACAGCAGAAGCAUCGCUUCUGGAAGCGCGUGUUUCCUUAAAUGCACUUUUUAUUGUCAUUUAACAUACACGCCUGCAAUGCAGGAGAUGUGGGUUCAGUCCUUGGGUUGGGAAAAUCCCAUGGAGGUGGAAUGGCUUACCCACUCCAGAAUUGUUGCCUGGAGAAUCCCAUGGACAGAGGAGCCUGGUGGGCUGCAGUCCAUGGGGUCACAAAGGGUCAGACACGACUGAGUGACUGACACAGAUGCGACACGCACUCAGGACGUGUGCUUAUCUUGAGGGACAUCUCUUGGGUGCCGCCCCCGGACGGGCCCAGGCCCCUCACGCUGUCUCUGAGGGGCUGGAGGGCAGGUUCACAAGCCUCCGCAGAGCUGGCGUGUUUGGCUCUGUCCUCAGAGAGUGUACUGUGGCCACGAAUACACCAUCAACAACCUCAAGUUUGCUCGCCACGUGGAGCCCAACAACACCGCCAUCCAGGAGAAACUGGCCUGGGCCAAGGAGAAGUACAGCGUUGGGGAGCCUACGGUGCCGUCCACCAUUGCCGAGGAGUUCACCUACAACCCGUUCAUGCGCGUGAGGGAGAAGACGGUGCAGCAGCA